AGAAAAUAAACAAAAUGACAAUAAUACAUAAAUAACAACAGACUACUAGCAGUUAACUGACAUGCCAGCUCCAGACUUCAAUUAAACUGACUGAAAGAUUAUGAUUUCAUCAUAUGAACAUCAGGCACAAUCCAUCCCGUUAAGGGUUUAGUAUCAUACCAUCAUAACAUAUAUGAGAAGAACAUAACCCGUGUCAUGCCAACA
rnacentral:lncRNA from 1 species